AAGGCUCCAUCGCCUGAAGUCGACGCAGGCGCCCGUCAGUUACAUAACCGAUCGCUAAGUGUGCGCGCGCGCAUAUAUUAAUUAAUAUUGACUAUUUUUGUUAUGUGUAUUGUGUUCUGAAAAUAUGUUAGGAAAAACGUUGUGUAGCGCGCUACUGCUGGCGACGGUGUCGUGUGCCCGCGCCGACCGGUGGAGCUGGCCGGACGCCUCCGCCGCGGAGAGUGUGCGCAUUGACAGCAAAGUGCGUUUUGUUGAUACGCCGGAAAAACACAGGAACAGUAAAAGAGACAAUGUGCAAGCUGACGAGAUUCCAUUUCAAGAAGCAACCGACACGGAGGGCUUUUACAACCAGCCGCCGGGCGCUGGGCGCUACCCUGUCCUCGUCGAACCGGAGAAGAGCAUUCGCAUCAAUGGACAGGACGUCUACUUACUCAAUGAACAAAACAGGAAUCAAAGGUACUCCGACGGUACGUUAGACUCGCUGCAGCACUGCAAAUGUGUUUCCAGACCAGACUGCAAGGUGCAGACAGAUUACAAAAGGGCAUGCGGAACAAACCAGUACCUCUGCUGUUUCAAUGUCCCCGACCGACAGAACUCCCAACACUCUGAAUAUUUCAAUGAAGUGGACGAUGAGCGUCCUAUGCUUUAUCCAAACCAAGGAAAUAUAGCGGGACCUUUCCCGCCUCCGCAUGAUAGCGACACGGGCGGUGUAUUUGGCGCCAACCACGGACCCAACAACGUAUUACUCGGCUCUUUCGAUGAUCGUAGGCAAUCUCAAAGUGUUCUCGUUGGACCAGACGGACCUACUGGUACCAUUGGACCAACAAAGACACAAGUUUUAGUCGGUUCAGGAGGCCCCACUGGAGUAGUUGGCCCUAGGAGACCCGUUCUAGUCGGACCUGAAGGUCCAACAGGUGUAAUUGGACCCGCAAAUGAAAAUCGUGAUCAUCGAAACGUUCUUAUAGGAUCAAACGGAGCCAGAGGUGAUGCAGGGUCUAGUGAAACAGCUCAAAGAGGAGUAUUAGUAGGACCAGGUGGUCCAACGGGAAUAAUUGGCCCCGCGUAUAAUCGGCCGGUAUUAGUAGGGCCUGGUGGACCCACUGGUAUAAUCGGACCAAGACGACAAGGCGUUUUAGUGGGACCGGGAGGACCGACCGGUAUUAUUGGUCCAGGUGGAUUUAACCGCCAAUCACAACGUCCAGGAAUCUUAGUUGGCCCCGGCGGCCCGACUGGCAUUAUUGGUCCCGGUAGACGGAUCCUCGUAGGACCAGGCGGCCCUACAGGUCAGAUUGGCCCUGGAAACUACUACGGUAAAUGAGUGAUGCGCUGUGAUAACUAAUAAACUAAUACGCGUAGGCACUUGUAGUGUAUGCCGCGCUCGUGUUUCGCCUCGUCGAAUGCUCGCAGUGAUUUCUUUAAUGAUGUUCGCGUCGUA